UCACCAGAAAUGCAAUCGUUCACAGGACAACCGCUCCAUACAUGCCGUCUUCCAACGGGCUGGCUGAGAGAGCGGUGCGAGAGCUGAAGAUUCGGCUCAACAAGAUGUCAGCUGAUCAACCGAUGUCGUGGAUCCCUGGAGCCGAGCGACAGCCAUCCGGACUCGCCGCGCCCUGGUGUUGGAGCGCGCUCUGGCUCCGCCGGCGGCUCGCAUGCCGCUACGCCGCUGGACACUGCCCUGGCCUCGCCAGGAGGAGGCGCGGAGGCGGUGCGGCCUGCGUCCCCUGUCGACGUCGACGAGCCGGGGGACUCUGUUCGGCCGCCCGAGGACCGCCGAGCCGCGUCUCCCGCCCGCGUCGCUGACGGCGUGGGAGCGAGGGAUGCCGAUGGGGAAGAAGGGCGCUAUCCUGUGCGCGUGAGGCGAGCGCCUGAUCGUUUCGGACACUGAUGUGCCGUGAUUCUAUCCGGUAGAAACCGUGACUGAUUCAGUUAAUUUUGUUUUGUUAACUCUGACCAUUGACUCGU
rnacentral:misc_RNA from 1 species